GAGAAAGGUUGUGACACAACAAGAAUCCGUAUUUUUACCGUCUGCAUUUACCGUCCGCCUAUAUUCGCGGACGGUAAAAUUAAAAUUACCGUCCGAUUUGCAUCAAACGCUAAUUAGCGACCGUUAUCCCAAAUUUACCGUCCGAUUUAUAUCAGACGGUAUUUACCGUCCGUUUUCAGAGGAUUUAUCGUCCGUAUAGCGGACGUAGAAUUCCGACGAUUUCGUACCCCUUUUUCUCUCCUUAUUUACUUAACCUUUCUUUCUCUCUCCUCAUUUACUUAACCUUUCUUUCUCUCUCCUUAUAUCAAAUUCAAGGAAUCUUCCUUUCUCUCUCCUCUUCUCAAUUCGACGGUUCUCUCUUCUCCCUCAUCUUUCUCUCUUCUCUCUCAUCUUUCUCAUUCUCUCUCAUCAACUCUCAUCUAUUCACUCUCGUUUCUCACUCAUCUCUCCUCCAUUUUUCUUUCUUCUGGAUCUGGAAAGAUUUGUUCAAGUACUGUAUUUGUUGAAGAGUUUGGUUCCAGAUUGCUUUUGAAGAUUUCUGAUAUACUCCGUUCCAUAUUUUCCAGAUUUUGAAGAGAUUGGAUCCAGUUUUUAGUUCAAGUAAUAUUUUCCUAGAUUUUAGUUAAUUUUAUUCCAGAUUUUGAAGAGAUUGGUUUUGUUCCAGAUCAUAGUUGAUGUAAUUAUUUUUUUACAUUUUAGUUGAAGUAAUUUUGUUCUAGAUUUUUGUAAGAUUUCAAUUGGGAUGUAAUAUAUAUUGUAUUUACCAUUAUAAUUAAUAAAAAGAUUAAUUUUUAAA